GUGCUGAUUUACAUAAACUUUAAGUUCAAUUUUCUCACCAAAUAUCAUUAAUUUAUUUUAAAUUGUUAAAGAAUACGAAUGUUCUCAUCAAGACGUUUCACAAGCCAUUUGUAACGUUCACGUUGUAUUUCCGAUACAACACGGCAGCUCAUGUUGAAAAUAGUACAUAUAAAAGAUCUUUAUAUAAUGAGGUCAUCAGCAACAAGAUAAACGACACUAAAGCCGAUAUCCGCAAUCCGGAUAACGAGGCUCUGAAGCGAAGGCUAAGUACUUUUCUGCUUUCGCAAAGUCCUUUUCAAAGAUGUCAUUUUGAUUUCGCGCGGUUCAUCAUCUUAUAUUCAUUCUCCCAAUAAAGCUAGGGGGAAAUUUUGAGGCAGACUUGUGGCAAGUCUAG